rnacentral:rRNA from 1 species
AUGAAUCGCCGUUUUGUGAAUCUGCUGGUCAGUAAAUCGGGCGACUGCCGCCCGGCCUUCAACCUGCAUCGCAUCAAUCCGGCGAGCUUAUUCUGCCCUACUAGAUCUCUAAAACCAGCAGAUCCAGCAGCAACAAAGAAGAAGACUCUGUCUCGGCUGCCUCCUGCGGCCAUAUCCUUCGAAUUGCCCUGCCCGUGGAAGAAGUUCGGGUGGAUGGAUUUCAUGGCCCGCAAGAACGACAUCAUUGCUGUCGACCAUGAGGGCCACACCCUCCUCUACAACGGCACGGUUGGCGCCCUCUGCGCCAUGAACAGGAUGGUAGACCCCUGUCACAGCUCAAUCUCCGUCGUUGUUGGGGACGAGCUGUAUGCCAUGGCCAUCAACCGUGGCCUGCUGCCCAAGGUGGACUAUUUUAAGGCUCUUACCUAUGGCCGCUCGUUCGGCCACUGCCAGCCAGAGGACUGGCACUGGCGCCCUCUCCAGCCGCCUCCCCUUGAAUACGACCACGAGAAGGAUCAACGCUACAACCCCACUGCGGCGCCUGUGACACACCCCUGUGCUAUUGGCGCAUACACGGUUGUUCGUGAUUCACAGAUCUGGAUAUCUACAACGGGCGCUGGCACGUACUCCUUUGACACAACUAGCGGCGUGUGGAGAAAGAUUGGCGAGUGGGCUCUGCCGUUCAAAGGUCACGCCAAGUAUGUUCCUGAGCACGGUCUCUGGUUUGGCUUCUCAGACAGUGAUGGUCAGCUCUGUGCUUCUGACCUCGAGCAGAUGCCGCCGGUGCAGCAGAAUGCGUGUGAAGACCUAGUCCUUCCUGUGCUGGAAGGUUGGAAUCCAACGGGGUCGCACCUCUUGGCGUUGGGAUCUGGUAAGUUAUGCAUCGUGAGCUUCUUCCAGAGAAUUAAGCGGGUGAGGCCGCGUCCGUCGACGUGCUAUUGGAGCUUCAAAAUUGAGAACGCUGCUGUUCUUGCUGGUGUGGAAGUUGUUGCCGCAGGUCCAGGAAUCCUCCGUAUGGUCAAGCACAAGUCCAAAUGUUAUCACUUCGGAGAUGAUAACGUGAAGCUGCUGUGA